CUACAGCAGCUUGGACUACAAUUCCCAGCAACACUUGAGGGCACGGCUUUCCUUCAUCCUAUGGCUCCCAAAACGUAGUGCUCCUUAAGGUGCACACGCUGGUGUGGAGACCGAGCUCAGGGUACUGCUGUUGCCCUGGCAACGCGAGGUCACCAGUCUGCUGUUCGUGAACUUGAAAUGAGAAGCACUGCUAUUGUGGAUCAUUCCCCAGUUUGAGACAGCUGUCUCUACACACUGAACCGCACUCCAGCUCCUCACUAGAGGUUUCUAGGCAGGAACUCUAUCAUUGAGCCACAUCGCAGCCUCCCACUGGGGAAUGCUAACCCAGUGCUCUACCAUGGAGCUAUGCUCCCAGCACCUUCCUGGGGAGAUUCUAGGCAAAUGUUUUAACACUGAGCCAUACCCAAGCUCCACACUGGUGGAUACUAGGCAAGCACUCUUCUGAGCUAUAGCCUUAACAUGUGCCCCUUCCUAUGCUUUUUAUUUUUAAACAGAGUCUCACUAUGUGGCCCAUGUAGACCUCAAAUUUACAAUCCUUCUGCCUUUGUCCUCCAAGUAGCUAGAAUUACACCUUUGAGCUACAAGGCUGGGUUCAGCUGCGUGGUAGAUAGACCUAGACCAGUGGUUCUCAACCUUCCUGAUGCUGUGACCCUUUAAUACAGUUCCGUAUGUUAUGGUGACCCCCCAACCAUAAACUUAUUUUCUUUA